UUCCAGUGUAUUUGUUCUGAGAAAAUAGUGACCAUGUAAAUAAAAAGCAGCACUACCUAGCAGACAUUAAUGGUGAUUUACGUGCCAGCUGGGAUACUGUUGCACCAUUUGUGAUAGCACUGAAACCAAAAGAAAACCUUGGGCAACAACACUGAAAACACCUCAGGACCAGUGAUGAUGGGACCAGGACUGCUGCCAACUCUGCCUAAGAGUCAGAUGCAGGAAGCUGUUCCUUACCUGGAACCUUGUCACCUGGGAAGUAGAAGGACAUGUUGGUGUGGACAGUGACGUAGUUGCUGUUGGGGC